rnacentral:rRNA from 1 species
CCCCUAGAUGUUCUGGGCUGCACGCGCGCUACACUGACGCACGCAACAGGUGCCUGCUCCGAGAGGACUGGGUAAUCAUUUGAGUGUGCGUCGUGAUGGGGAUAGAAUAUUGUAAUUAUUACUCUUCAACGAGGAAUUCCUAGUAAGCGCCAGUCAGCAGCUUGCGCUGAUUACGUCCCUGCCCUUUGUACACACCGCCCGUCGCUCCUACCGAUGGGUGAUCCGGUGAAUGAUUCGGACUUCAGCGGCUCCCCUGGGGUGCGCCGGAGAAAGUUUUGUGAACCUUAUCACUUGGAGGAAGGAGAAGUCGUAACA